rnacentral:sRNA from 1 species
CGCCGCCGCCGCCGCCGCCAGCAGCAGCUGCAGCAGCGGCAGCAGCCCCAGCCUCAAGGCCAGUUUAAGCUAUGAAGAAGGACAUCCCUCACACUCUGAAACAGAUCUCCUUCAGAGACAGAGUUUUGCAGCCUCUCAUCAGCUUCCUGGAUAUGCUCCCACACCUCAGCCUACUGGCAUGCAUUCCUCAGCAGCAACUGAGCUGUUUGCUACUGGACCUUUGCCAAGCACUGGAACACUUGCACCAUCUCUCUCUGCUUAUCAGCAUCCCACCACCUUCAGCAAUAGAAACUUUGCUACCACGUCACCUUUGGUGCUUCAGGAUUCAACUUUUAACACUACAUCAAAUGGAAUUUUAAGUCAUCAUGACCCUUUGCUACAAAUCAAGACUUCCCAGGGAACUGUUCCAACUGCUUUGGCAUUUGAGCGCCUGGGC